rnacentral:lncRNA from 1 species
UCUAAUCACCCACAAAAUCAUGGGGAAAGAGCCUGUUGCUUUCAGAGGAUGAGACACCUGAUCCCCAUGUACUUCAGUCUCAGCUCUUUCAAGAGGAAGAUCUGCCAGAGGAUCCUCUCUGCUUUCUCAACUUCUACUGAAGUAUAACAGUCUUAGAGGGUCUCAACUGCUGAUAGAACAAUGAUAGAAUAAGUGAAUCAUGAAGAAGUACACGCUUAUUAAUAUGCUGCAUAACUGAGAAUGUCAUCCCUGGUAUAUUUAAAUGUCUAAUUAAAGCUUCUGUUCAAACCAUCAUAAGUUAAGAAGCUUAAGUUUGGUAAAAAAAAAAAAAAAAGGAAAUUAUAAACUGAACAUGGUUAAUUUUUGCAUUUGGAAAAUUCCAGUCAAUAAAUCCAGACAACCUCCACA